UUCCCCUUUCUUCUUUUUUCUCUGCAGUUCCCAUUUCCUGGAUUUCCGGGCUUUCCACCUGUUAUGGGGAGAUAAUGUCCCUGCAGAUACACUCUGUCUCUCGGUGACAGAAAGAAUGUGAAAGAUGUUCUCCGAGGUGGUCUCCUGCUUUUAACUUCCCUGCUGAAUCUUCAAGCUGCCUUUUAAUUCUACUUAUUUGCUUUAUUUGGCUAUAAAAAGCAGUGUUUCAUUUCUUUGACAACAUUACGCAUAUGUCAUCUCUUGUGAAUAUUGUUUUCACCUAAAGCAAUGUAACAGCAUCCAUUUCUAAACUAAGCUGUGCUUUUAUUAUAGUUGAUAAAUACUGAACACUGACACUUUUCUUUUUUAAUUCUGAAGUCUCAAAAGCAAGACAAUCCGGUAUUAACUAUAGAUUUAACUUCCAUUAAGAUCAUCACAGAAGUUAAUUAUUAUAUUGUUUUAUCAUAACAUAAAGAUAUGAAUACAUAAGCUAUGGUUUACUUAUAUGCCUGACAACAUUUGAUUGAGAUGUCUCAUUCAAUAGAUUUUCAAUCCAAUAUACUUUUGUUUUUCUUGCUGGAAAGUAGUGUUUUUUUUCCUUUUAAAUGUGCAUAAAUAAAGAAUAAUACAAACCAGAA